rnacentral:rRNA from 1 species
GACGAACGCUGGCGGCGUGCUUAACACAUGCCAGUCGAACGAAGAGCGAUGGAAGCUUGCUUCUAUCAAUCUUAGUGGCGAACGGGUGAGUAACGCGUAAUCAACCUGCCCUUCAGAGGGGGACAACAGUUGGAAACGACUGCUAAUACCGCAUACGAUCUAAUCUCGGCAUCGAGGAUAGAUGAAAGGUGGCCUCUACAUGUAAGCUAUCACUGAAGGAGAGGAUUGCGUCUGAUUAGCUAGUUGGAGGGGUAACGGCCCACCAAGGCGAUGAUCAGUAGCCGGUCUGAGAGGAUGAACGGCCACAUUGGGACUGAGACACGGCCCAGACUCCUACGGGAGGCAGCAGUGGGGAAUCUUCCGCAAUGGACGAAAGUCUGACGGAGCAACGCCGCGUGAGUGAUGACGGCCUUCGGGUUGUAAAGCUCUGUUAAUCGGGACGAAAGGCCUUCUUGCGAAUAGUGAGAAGGAUUGACGGUACCGGAAUAGAAAGCCACGGCUAACUACGUG